rnacentral:rRNA from 1 species
GCGGCGAUGAAGAACGUGGCAUGCCGGUAGACAUUGGUGAUAUGUCCCGCGAAUGGCAAGACUCGGAAGC